UACGUAGGGUGCAAGCGUUGUCCGGAAUUUAUUGGGCGUAAAGAGCUUGUAGGCGGUUUGUCGCGUCUGCUGUGAAAUUUCGGGGCUCAACCCCGAACUUGCAGUGGGUACGGGCAGACUAGAGUGUGGUAGGGGAGACUGGAAUUCCUGGUGUAGCGGUGAAAUGCGCAGAUAUCAGGAGGAACACCGAUGGCGAAGGCAGGUCUCUGGGCCAUAACUGACGCUGAGAAGCGAAAGCAUGGGGAGCGAA
rnacentral:rRNA from 1 species